GAUGAACGCUGGCUACAGGCUUAACACAUGCCAGUCGAGGGGAAACGACGGGGAAGCUUGCUUCCCCGGGCGUCGACCGGCGCACGGGUGAGUAACGCGUAUCCAACCUGCCUCUGACUGAGGGAUAACCCGUCGAAAGUCGGCCUAAUACCUCAUGGUAUCGUCUGCGGGCAUCCAACGACGAUUAAAGAUUUCAUCGGUCAGGGAUGGGGAUGCGUCUGAUUAGCUUGUUGGCGGGGUAACGGCCCACCAAGGCUACGAUCAGUAGGGGUUCUGAGAGGAAGGUCCCCCACAUUGGAACUGAGACACGGUCCAAACUCCUACGGGAGGCAGCAGUGAGGAAUAUUGGUCAAUGGGCGAGAGCCUGAACCAGCCAAGUAGCGUGCAGGAAGACGGCCCUAUGGGUUGUAAACUGCUUUUAUGCGGGGAUAAAGUGAGGGACGUGUCCCUCAUUGCAGGUACCGCAUGAAUAAGGACCGGCUAAUUCCGU
rnacentral:rRNA from 1 species